rnacentral:lncRNA from 1 species
AUUUCAUUUAAUAUAACAGGCUUUUAAAAUUCAAUAUUUGCACACUAUUUCUACUUAAAAUAAUCAUAGGGCACUCAUUUCAUGGAACGACCCUUGGACUGGCUAGAAUGUUUAGAAUAGGUUAUCAGUAAAACGUCACAAUAAGGUGCAGAGCGUUUGGUGUCGUCACCUCUGGAAGAGCAUAGAAAUACAAAUGUCAGAUAUUUCCACAUUCUGCUGUAUCAGUUAUACAGCAGUAACUGCAUGCUGUUCAUGGCCAUUUCAGAUACGUAGCCUGACGAUCUCUCUCAAUAUUGGCCACCAUUGAUUGGAUAUUUGAGUGAUAUAAAAGUAAACUAUACCCGACAAGAAUGAGUGGUUUAGGUUCAUUUCCUGUCCUUUGUGGGCUCUUCCUGUCAAGCAGCAGAAGGGCUCAUUUUACCAAUGUAGUUAGCUGAUAAUAUUUACAAGCUACCGGUAUAAACUUGUUACAGGCUAAACAGAGGUAAAUAGACCUACUGUACUUCUUUCUCCAACCAACGUAGGCCUACCUAGCAAAGUUAGCUAACAUUAUCCACUUCUCAACAUUGUUUUUUUUAAGUGUUUAGUCACUAUUGCUGCUGACAGAAAUUAUAGAUGGGCUUCAUUGAUUGAUGGAUCACGUCAAAUUGGCUAGCUAGCUAAUAACAGAUCGGGUCAAUAUGGGCUGGUUAACGAGCUAACUUCCUGGGGAUAAACUUGAACUUGAUUAGCUUGCCAUCUAUAGUGGUGAUGACAGAAGUCCAACUGACCACUUCACCAGGACGAGGACUUGCUGAUGUCAAGGUCUUUCCAAAAGCCUCAUCUCUGAUGAAGCCAACUAAAUGAAAGGUUUGCUUAGUUAGCUACAUGCCAAAUGGAUAGGCCACCCUCAGGUAUCUGAAACUACAUGAUCAACUGAUGUUACUGAUCAUGAACAGCAUGUAGUUACUUACCGUAUAACUCAGAGCUAAAUGUGGAAUAAUCAGACGGGUAGUUCUGACUAUGCGUUGGGGCGGGUGGUAGCCUAGUGGUUAGAGCAGCAGGUAGCCUAGUGGUUAGAGCGUUGGGGCGGGUGGUAGCCUAGUGGUUAGAGCGUUGGGGCGGGUGGUAGCCUAGUGGUUAGAGCAGCAGGUAGCCUAGUGGUUAGAGGGGCAGGUAGCCUAGUGGUUAGAGCAGCAGGUAGCCUAGUGGUUAGAGCAGCAGGUAGCCUAGUGGUUAGAGCAGCAGGUAGCCUAGUGGUUAGAGGAGCAGGUAGCCUAGUGGUUAGAGCAGCAGGUAGCCUAGUGGUUAGAGCAGCAGGUAGCCUAGUGGUUAGAGCAGCAGGUAGCCUAGUGGUUAGAGGGGCAGGUAGGCUAGUGGUUAGAGGGGCAGGUAGCCUAGUGGUUAGAGCAGCAGGUAGCCUAGUGGUUAGAGGGGCAGGUAGCCUAGUGGUUAGAGGGGCAGGUAGCCUAGUGGUUAGAGGGGCAGGUAGCCUAGUGGUUAGAGGGGCAGGUAGCCUAGUGGUUAGAGAGACAGGUAGCCUAGUGGUUAGAGAGGCAGGUAGCCUAGUGGUUAGAGCGUUGGGGCGGGUGGUAGCCUAGUGGUUAGAGCGGCAGGUAGCCUAGUGGUUAGAGCGGCAGGUAGCCUAGUGGUUAGAGGGGCAGGUAGCCUAGUGGUUAGAGCAGCAGGUAGCCUAGUGGUUAGAGGGGCAGGUAGCCUAGUGGUUAGAGUGUAGGGGAGGCAGGUAGCCUAGUGGUUAGAGCGGCAGGUAGCCUAGUGGUUAGAGCGGCAGGUAGCCUAGUGGUUAGAGCGGCAGGUAGCCUAGUGGUUAGAGCGUUGGGGCGGGUGGUAGCCUAGUGGUUAGAGCAGCAGGUAGCCUAGUGGUUAGAGCGGCAGGUAGCCUAGUGGUUAGAGCGGCAGGUAGCCUAGUGGUUAGAGCAGCAGGUAGCCUAGUGGUUAGAGCGGCAGGUAGCCUAGUGGUUAGAGCAGCAGGUAGCCUAGUGGUUAGAGCAGCAGGUAGCCUUGUGGUUAGAGCGUUGGGGCGGGUGGUAGCCUAGUGGUUAGAGCGGCAGGUAGCCUAGUGGUUAGAGCGGCAGGUAGCCUAGUGGUUAGAGCAGCAGGUAGCCUAGUGGUUAGAGCGUUGGGGCGGGUAGUAGCCUAGCGGUUAGAGCAGCAGGUAGCCUAGUGGUUAGAGCGUUGGGGCGGGUGGUAGCCUAGUGGUUAGAGCAGCAGGUAGCCUAGUGGUUAGAGCGGCAGGUAGCCUAGUGGUUAGAGCGGCAGGUAGCCUAGUGGUUAGAGCGGCAGGUAGCCUAGUGGUUAGAGCGGCAGGUAGCCUAGUGGUUAGAGCGGCAGGUAGCCUAGUGGUUAGAGCGGCAGGUAGCCUAGUGGUUAGAGCAGCAGGUAGCCUAGUGGUUAGAGCAGCAGGUAGCCUUGUGGUUAGAGCGUUGGGGAGGCAGGUAGCCUUGUGGUUAGAGCAUUGGGGCGGCACGUAGCCUUGUGGUUAGAGCAUUGGGGCGGCAGGUAGCCUUGUGGUUAGAGCGUUGGGGAGGCAGGUAGCCUUGUGGUUAGAGCAUUGGGGCGGCAGGUAGCCUUGUGGUUAGAGCGUUGGGCCAGUAACCGAAAGGUUGCUAGAUUGAAUCCCCGAGCUGACAAGGUAAAAAUCUGUCCUUCUGCUCCUGAACAAGGCAGUUAACCCACUGUUCCUAGGCCGUCAUUGUAAAUAAGAAUUUGUUCUUAACCGACUUGCCUAGUUAAAUAAAGGUCUUAAAAAAUGUUUUAACAAUCCCUUGAAAACGGCACGCAGUUGUCAAUGGUUUUAGCAGAGCUGACGGUCUUCUUGCUCUACAGCAGCCAAAUGAAACGCUCUGCACCCUGUUGUGACGUCUUAUUGAUAACGACCUAUGGGGACAAACAUCUGGAACAGAUCAUUAGGAUUCUCAGGUUCCAAAUAUAUGAAAUGUCAUGUUGGCUCAUACACAUCCAGAGGCUGCUACAGCCUCUCCUCAUGUAAUGCAUGUCAAUCCCUGGAGUCAAAGACAUGCUGGUUGAGUUGGAAAGAAAGCGUUAUGUUUCUAAUUUCUUAAUGUCGUAAAUUAAACUGUAAUAUUAUACAAAAUGAUAAGAACUGUAUUAUAAUGAGCGAACUGAAUCUAAGUUAAUCUAUGUUCAUGUUUUAGUUCUAGUCCAUGUGAAUUGUUCAAUAUGUGUAUGUCUCAGCAAAGAUAAAACUAUGUGAGUUUACAUAUGGCUUAAAAAUAAAUGUCAAUUUCUUUCUAUUUUCCAUAAAUGUAUAAAUAUAGACAUGAAUUGUUCCUUAGUUUUGGUGUUUGCCUGUAACAUCUAGUAGAUGUAGCAACAUUGCUAUUUAUUGCAGAGAUGAAAUUAUUAGACUGUUUAUUUGCUUUAUCUUGUUUCUAGUUAUUGUUCUGUAAGAUAUGUUAUGUGCAUUGUGUAACUAAAAUGUUCAUUUAAAACUAUUUACUUUAAUAGGGAAUUAUUUAUGUAAAAAUUGUUUGUAAAAUCUAUUUUGGUUUUUAUGACAUUAAACAUGAAUUGAACUUGGUACACAGAGUGUGAUGGAAUUGGUUCUGCUUACUAUAAACUAUGAAGAUUUGUAUUAAUGGUAUAACUGUUUUUAAAGUAUACAUUUCAAUGAUUUAUUUGAUUUGCUAUAGAUAUGUGUCCAGAAGAGAGGUGAUCGCCUCCAUACAUUAAUAUCUCCCCUGCAGGACCCCUCUACACUACCAUGUCCUGAUCUGUCCAUCAGGACCCCUCUACACUACCAUGUCCUGAUCUGUCCAU